UACGAAGGGGGCUAGCGUUGCUCGGAAUUACUGGGCGUAAAGGGCGCGUAGGCGGAUAUUUAAGUCGGGGGUGAAAGCCCAGGGCUCAACCCUGGAACAGCCUUCGAUACUGGAUAUCUUGAGUACGGGAGAGGUGUGUGGAACUCCGAGUGUAGAGGUGAAAUUCGUAGAUAUUCGGAAGAACACCAGUGGCGAAGGCGACACACUGGCCCGUUACUGACGCUGAGGCGCGAAAGCGUGGGAGCAACAGGG
rnacentral:rRNA from 1 species